AUGGAGUGCAGCUUUAAAUGCCAGCUCUGCCUCGACACAUUUAGAAGGCUGGGCUAUUACAAGAGGCACAUAUUAUCAGAUGUACAUCACCAGAAACUGAAAAACCUUUUCCCAAAUGAUAAGUUUCAGAAUGCUGCCAAAGGUGUACCCCAUAUCAUUUUUGCGGAUCCAGAAAAAAAGAAUUGCUUCAAACAUCCCAUUGUGGGCUUGUCUGCGCUGACUCUGUGUUUCAGUCCACAGUCAUGGUCUUCGUUUUACUUGUGUCACAUCUGUGCCGAGAAGCAUUUACCUAGUGAUGUUUUAAGGCACUUCUUUUCUAUGGACCAUUACAGCAACUACAUUAAUUGCAUGGAUCCCAAUGCAAUGAGUUUCUCCUGGAUCCCCAGCAAGCAAAUGAAAGAGACUGAACUCAAAAACAGAGUAAAAGAAGAAGGGCCUAUGGACUUGCAGAUGCUGCAUUUACCUGAUCAUCUUAUGGAAAAGCUAAUAACCUGCACCUACUCAGAAGUGAUGCUCACUCUAGGUGAAAAUGAGAAGCUUCUCAAGCUGAUUCAAGCUUUCAAGCCAGAGAGGAAGACGAUCCUGGCUUACCAAAAAGACAGCAACAGGAAGCAUCCGCUUCUUGGCAUGCAGCACCUCGUCGAGUGCAUUUGUGUCGGAGCAGAGGAGGAGAAGUAUUACCUCUGCACGCUCUGUGGCCUUACAGUGGCCGCCCACGUGAUCAUCAAACACAUCCUGAGCUUUGACCACAUCUUUUGGUAUUUUAAAGAGUGGCAUCCCUCUACAUUGAUGUCAAAAGAGUGCUACACAGACUACACGCCCUCCUUUGAAUCCAUGAUGCUUGACUUGGCAAAGCAGACGGAGAAGAUUCAUGGAGAAAAUGAUUUGAAACGAGUGAGCCUGGAGCCUGCUGAAUUCAAGUCCAUAAACUUUAAUAGCUACCCAGAAGCUUUGACGACCCUGAACUUGAUCAAGAAGUGCAGCUUGAAACCAGCCAUCAAACCAGGGAAGAAGCUGGAGUAUCAUGCUGUCAAAAAUCAGUCAGCACCUGCAAGCGAACCUUCAAAGCUGCUCACAUACUACCCAAGAUGUAAACUGCUGUGUCAGGACUGCCGUGUGACGUUGAAAAGCAUAUCUCAAUAUCUCAAUCAUCUGUCAAAACCAAUACACAAGGAGAUCUUGUGGAAACUCUUUGAAGAAGGAUCUGAAGGCUAUGAGAAAAAAGCUCAGUUUUUCCUUCACUUACACUCGUAUGUCAUGGAGUGCUUCAAGAAAAAACAGCCAGUCAUUGGUACAUCCUUGAUUGUGUCCUGCAUUACCACAGAAGCUCAGGCAGAGCCUUUUUACAUAUGCUUUGCUUGUCAGGAGUGUGUCUGUCAGUCCUUGAUCGAGCCACACUUAAACUCCCGAAAACAUGUUGUACACACGCUGCUGUUUGAGAAUCCCUGGCGGCUGCCUUUCGGCUGGGAGAAUCUGCAGGAUGAUCAAACACUAAAGUCAAAGGCGUGGGAGGAGGAGAUGGAGAGAAGACCAAAGGAGGUGGUUCUGAAGGUUCUUGAUAUGCCAUGGUCAGUAUUUUACAGGCUCACCCCUCCUACUUUUGAAAAAGUACUGGAGGGACUUGAACAGCAGCGCAAGGUCUUGAAGAAUGAAGUUCCACCUUGUCAAACAUAUAGCAAACUCCAAGGAAAUGAAUCAUUUCCUCUACUUGGCAUCGAGUUCAUCGUGAUGUAUGAUUUAUUUGUCAAAGAACCCAAUUCCCCAGAAGCACAUUUUCUGUGUUUGCUCUGUGAGAGGAGGCUGUCAGAGCACGAAUGCCACGACCAUAUAUUCAGCCGUGAACACGUGGCAAAAUUCCUGGACUGUUUCCACCCAGGCUCACUGGAUUCCAACGCUGAUGCAGAGACACUACUGGACUUGGCAAAACAGGCAGCAACAAUUCACAAUAAAUCUCACAUACAGGCAAUAUAUUUGCAGCGUCCGAUUAAGGAGCCAUACUCCUACUCCCAAGCAACAAGAAUCUUGGAAUGUGUAAAUAGGAAAACUGGGAACAAAAAGCUUAAACCCCAAAUAAAACGUAAUAGAAAACUGGUUCCGAGGAUAACUGUAAAAGAUGAGCAAUGUGUGAGAGUUGUCUGUCAGAAAAACAGCAGCACCAGCAUAGCCGGUGUAGAAGAAAUCAAAAAAGAGCGUGACGAGGAAACACCGACACCAAGUGAAAAUGACUCGGCGUUGAAAAGUGAGGUGGCUUCCAAAACUACUUCAGAAGUGAUGGCGAAUCCAGGUGAGGUGUGUCGGGCGAUAAAGCAGGAGCCAGAAGAGGCUAAAAUAAAAGGAUCAACUGGGGCGAAGCAAGGCUGCCACAACACCAACAAAGAUAAUGGUGCAGAUGCUGGGAUAGAAGAUGGCAGAAGUAGCAAAGAUGUCCCAGCACAGCUGAAGAAUUACAAAGAAAUGGAAAGAAAAAGACAGCACGGUGUGUCUGAAACAUCGCAAGAGGACUCAUGUCCUGCUGAGUGUGUGGGGAGAGAAAUGGGCCCUAAAAGACAGCGUCUGACCUCCAGAGAAGACUCGUGUGAUGAAGCCCCAAAAAUGUCUGAUAUUAGAAUAAAGAAGGAAAAAAAUGAAGAUGAAGCCUGCAAAGCAGCAAUUGACAAAGGUUUUAGCGCCCUGCUUAAAUGCUGCUGUCCUCAGCAUGAGCCGGUCUACCUCUGCGAGUCCUGCUCUUUGAAGAUCUCAGAGAAGGACAUCGUCAGGCAUCUGACUGGAUUUGAUCAUCACAAGCUCCAGCCGGUGGAUGUUUAUGUAAAUGAAGAAGUUUACAGUAAGGUCUCAAAACAAAGCUUUCAAUCGGCUAUAGAGACAGUGAAGGCAUUUCAGACUUCAUCCUCAGCUCCUACCUGCGUAAAACCUGUGGACACUUCAGUCGACCAACAUGAUGACAGUACAAAGGGCAGCAUGAAGGUGGUGAAGAUGGAGAUUGAUGACAAUCAGGAGGAGUCUGCGUUAUUUAAAGGCACCUCUGAGGCAGGACUUGAGUUAUUCCAAUCAACUGAAGAGGACAAAAAGAGUACCAAAGCACCCAAGCCAGCUAGCAAAUUUGUCACUUGUCCAAUUACUCCCAAAAGUGGAGAAAACGUAAGCCCGUGUGUGUCAAAUGCAAGUGGCACAAAGACUGCCUCCAAAGCUGGUAUUACUCCAAACACAAGUGUGGAAUCAAUAAAAAUUGCUUCCAAGCCUGACAUGGAAGAAGUGAGACCGGUUACGUCCAUGUGCACUGCAGCCACUGCUAAAAAUCCUGCAACUUCUUCCCAACGGAUAGGAACUGCCUCCACCUCUAAGGUAUCUGCCUCAAAUGUCAAGUCAACUGCAGAAUCUCCAGCAGUGCGCAGAACUGGAGCUGCAUCGAGAGUGAGGGCUACUUCUUUAAACGGUACACCUCCUCAGACUGAAUCCACAGUGGUGCGAGAGGCUACUUGCAAAACUGCACCUUCCUCCAGAAGUGAAAAGUUUCCAUCUCAUCAGUUAAAAACCAAAGCCACCCCUCAAAUGGCACCUGUGGCUAAAAAGCCCAGAACCUCAGUUAGAUCUGAAAGUGUGGAGACUCCUGCAAAGGCCGUACAUGUGAAGAAUUCAGAGGGGCCAAAUGCACCACAUUGUCAUAAAAGUAACAAACCUGACGCUCCUCAUCAGGCCAAGGGCACAUUUGUCAGGCCUGAACACAAGAAGCCACCCACAGAGCCACCCCAAACCUCUAUGAGUAAUAAGACAAAGCCAAGUGAAGGUCUUCCUAAAAUAGGCUUAAAUGAGCUGAUUGUGGUAUUUUGCGAGGAGAAGCAGCAAGUCUACUGUAAGCUGUGUUCAGUGAAGCUAACCAGUUCCAGUGACUAUCAUCUAAUCAGCUUAGACCACUGGAAAAAAUAUGUGAAAACAAAGUAUCCUGAAUGGACCGCAAAGCCAUCAGAGAUGGAGAAAAAACUGAACGAGAUAGCGAUUCCCUUGACCGAGGCUGAGAGGAGUCUCGGACAUCGCAGACCACAGAUUCUGAAAGUGAAGAAGGACAUGUAUGAAAAGCUGGCACAUCUUCGAGAAGAUGAAGCUGUCAAAUAUGUGAGGUCAAUGAGUAAGAGAAGCUUGCGGCUCUCAUCAACCUCCCCAGCUGAUUCUGCCUCUGCCAGUCCAUGCGACGUUUCAAGCUCAGAUGAUGGGAUAAAUAAAAUGUCAGAACUUUCUACUUACGAAUGUUCAACGGUGGAGAACAAAAACCAGCACCAGGCACUGUUGAUCCAGAAGGAAGAAAUGAGCUCUAACUCAAAAGUGGAAGCGGACCUGACUGCAUGGGAGCCAAUCGGACAGAGCUCGGAAGGUGAAGACAUACAAUCUGAUGACAUGAUUCUAGAUGAGCUUCAAGACGAGGAAAUGGCAGAACUUCAUGGCACUGACUCGGACAUCUUUGCUGAAUCCCCUGGUGGAGGCACUAGCGACCACAGACCAAAGCAGUUGAAGAGCGAAGAAUUUCAGGACACCUGGACAUUGCCAGCAUGCCCACAAACAGCUUUGCCUGUAAAAUUCAGCUGCUCAGAGCCGUUCUCUGUAGCUCCUUCAGCUUAUACAGAAGGGCAGAACCAGCUGAGACCAAGGCAGAAGAUGGACCACGUGUCUAGAGGCAAUCCAGUAUCUGAAGAGCACAGCGCAUCACAGGCAUUCUUAAGAACUCCAACAGAGGGAAGAAAUCAGCGCUCUAGUUCUGACAGCCAUUUGAUCCUAUUCUUGAAAACAAAGGGACUGGAUGCAGAACCAAUUGUUGGUCAGGGUUAUGUGUUGGAGUGCCGCGGGAUUUCUUUGGAAACCAUUUUCUUAUGCACGUGCUGCGAGAAGGUGCUCUCUCACCGUGACGUCUGUCAGCACAUGGUCAGCUCUGACCACCAGUUCGAAUACAUGCGGAAAGAACACCCUGGGUUUCUCCACAAGUUCUGGGAUGAAGACCUGCCUCUGGACAAGAGACUGGGACUCUUAAAGAAAGUUUCCUGGAAGAUUUCAGAGCGGGAGCAGGAUGAAAAACCAAAGGUUACAACGCUGACAAAGGAGUUGCAUGAACGUGUUCAGACAGCUCCAUUCAGUGAAGCUGUAAAAAUGGUGCAAAAUAUGCAUACGGACAAAUCAAAUAAACUGGGCAUGGCGCAGGACAUCGAUAAACACAGUGUCUUGGAACCACAGCACAAGAGUCAGCAGUCUGAUGAGCGGCCAAUUCCAAAUGAGUCUCUUACCACAGAAAUGCAAUCAGCUUAUAGACCUGAGCGAUACCACAGAAGUGACAAUGCUCAACUCACACAGGAGCCUCAGUUAGACAAAACUCAAACAGUUGGUGACUUGGAUGGGUUCAAAGAAAGACAACUCUGGAGUCCUCUUAAUGUGAGCGGCUCCAGCUCGAAGGAUGAUCCUGUUGCCUCGCUGUUGCCCCGUCCUGGCUCAUGUUUCAGCCCUAAAGAGACCUGCUAUAAGCCUCCCAUGCAAACAAAGCUCACGCCACCAGUCUCUGACUAUCAGCAGCCUGCCCUCUGCUUGCAUGUGAAACAGGAAGAGGCGCACUUGGAACCACCAUGCUCUUCAGCUGCUCAUCCUACUGUCAGCCAAACGCUGUCAGUGCCUCCCAGAGAUCAGUGUCUUCCAUCCAGGAAAAGGCCAGCUGAUACAUCUGUUAAAACUUGCACCGAUAACCCGCUUGACGACACUUUGCUAUACAAAAAUGAUAUAGACUGGAAUCUCUGUGUACACCUGAUUAGUGAACUGAGAAAUGCUAGAAUGAAAGCUCUAGAUGCUGUUGAGACUUUGGACUCGUCUGCUGCCAGUUCAUCUGAAAGUGUGGAAAAUAGAUUGAAUUUGCAUACAGUGACAAAAACUCCAACUUCCUCUGCCUCAUUUAAAAGCAUGCCUCUGACAGGAAACCCUGCUAAUGCAGGUAGUGAAAACCAACCUGUCAGUCUGAGUGGAAGCUCAGAAGGCACUUCAUCUUCUCUGGACCAUUUGAUGACUGGAAAUCCUUUUCAAGUUGAAGCUGCAUCUGGUGCAAGGCCUACUACCGCCACUGUUGAGACCAAAGACCCACAGCAUCCACAAGCUGUCACUGAUCAAAAUGCCUUUGAAAAGUUCAGCCCUGUUUUCUUUACAGACACCAGCCUUAACCCAGGACAGAUCCCUCAGCCACAUGCUGACUCAGAGGCUGAGAGCUCUGGAGUUGACCAGUUGCCCAUCAGUACCAUUGUAACCGAGAGGCCGAAGUUUAUGGGACACUAUACAGAACAGCACCACACCGAGGUGAACAGCAGCCAUCAGGGCAGUUUCCCUACAAUUUCUGGUGACAACCCCACUGCGUUUUUGGUGCCUUCAGCCGGAUACGACUCAUACAGCCAACUGGCUUAUGUCGCAAGUUCACAUCCAGGGUACGCACCGCCUCAGGCCGUAUUAAGUUACACAACAGGAGAAAACCCUCAAGUUUAUACUGGAGCUUUAAACCCAAGUGAAGGAUACACUGCAGCGACAAUCUACCCGGCAAAUUUUUGUCCACAGCUGGCCAUCAGCCAUUCAAGUUUGCAGUUAUUUGGGCAAGCUGCGGUGAUGAUGCAAUACUACCCGUCAGUGACGAGGAGAUAAGUGACUGGUUUUUGGUUUUUGUACAAAAAAAUGUUGCUGUGCGUUUUGACAUUUGAUUUUUGUCAUACUUUUUUGGUUUGGUAAUAAAAAAAGAAUUAAUGACAUAUUAUAAAUUACUUUUAUUCUUUCAAAGUAAUGUUUAAAUGGAUAGUUUAACAUGCAUUUUAAAAAAAAAAAAAAAAAAAAAAAAAAAAAAUCAUUAUCUUAUACUUUAUAGUUGGGCGCUAGCUAUCAUUAGCAUUUGGAAAACCUGAGGUGCAAAUUGACACUUUCACUGCCUUUUUCUCAGUAUUUGUGUUCUCACUUGCACUGCUGUACAGCACAUGUCCUGAUCACAUUUUAAGAAGCUAGAUUUAGCCUGUUGAAAUUCUUGUUUUGUUUUUUGUUCUGUGGUUCAUUUUGAGUAAAGCGCACAGAUUUUCUGUGCAAGUAGCAAAAAGUUAUGUUUAAAACUGUUUGUAUUCAGUAUGAAGGGAGUGUCAAAAUCUUGGGAAAUCCCAUUUAUUUGUAGCUUGUUUUUAAAUCUGAUAAUAGCAGUUUUUAUAUAAAUUUGUAGGUUUUUAUGUUUUGUUGUCUGAUUUUGAUUAAAAAACAAAAAAAAAUGUGUUUGUUUGUAUUUUUAUUUUUUACCAGUUGGAUGGAUGGAUGGAUGGAUGGAUGGAUGGAUGGAUAAUAGAUUUCAAUUGUCUGAUGAAUAAAAGGGAGGGAAACUUGUACACUAAGGGGAGAUCUGGGUAUGAUUGGGCACAAAGUUUAGAGGGAAGGGAGAGAGACACCUUCUCUAUUUUUAAUAUUAAGCUUUAAACUUUCCUUUUUGAUGGAGUUUAGAGUGAGUCCUGGAUCAGAUGACUGUGAAUCCUCCCAUAGGCAUGCUGCAGUAGGUCUAGCCUGCUUAUCUGCAUGUCUCCCAGAUUGCACCGUUUCUUCUUCACUCACUUAAAAAAAAACAAAAACAAAAAAAACAAAAACAAACCAUUCUGCAUUUUCACUCUCUUGUCCACGGUGUGCCUUUGUCCUCUCUUCCUCCCUUCACUCCCAACAGUAUGCAGCAGGUGGCUGCCCCUUCCUGAACCUGGGUCUGCCACAGGUUUCUUCCUGUUGAGAGGGAGUUUUUCCUUCCUACUUUUGCCAAAGCACUUGCUCAUAAGGGGUCAUCUGAGAUAUUUUCCCAGUAUUAUUGUAGGGUCUUUACCUUAGAAUAUAAACCGCCUUGAGGUAACUCUUGUGAUUUGGUGGACAUAAAGUUGAGGAACUUUUUUUUUUUUUUGUUAAAUGGUAAGAACCUGAACUGGACACUAACUUGUUUUGGCUUCCAGACUGAGCCAUAGCAGAAAGAAGUCUGAGAGCUAUAUCAAAGGAAAGCUGCCUCAGUUAUCUCUGCAGCAGUAGUUUUAGUUUUGUAGUCAUCACAGAUUUUAUUAUGCACUUUAAACUUUUAAAAGGCUAUUCCAUUCUUAAAAGUGGCAGAUCUCUGGGAGAAAAUGCCUUGUUGGGACAUAAAGGUCAUAAGUGAAUGCCAACAGUAACUUGCAUAACCCUGGUUUUAACCAAGGUAUGUAGAAGAGUAUCUCUGAAGGCACGACAUGUGGAGAUUUAAAAACAGAUGCGCUACAGGAGCUGAAGAUCUCACUGGAUGUCAUGCCUGUCAGCUCAGAACAGGAAACGGAGACCAUUGACCACAGUGUACUGAUCUUCUGAAGUCUGCUUCCAGUAUGAUAACACACCAUGUAACAAAGCUUUUGCUCUAUUGCCCUGCUAUUAACAGCGUUGGUGCCUAAUGAGUAUGUCAGGAAGUAAGCAUUCUGUAUCUGAGGUAGAGCAGGCAGGUUUUUGACUGGUGAUGUUAUGUGUACCCACAGACGUUGACAUAGAUCAUGUAAACUGUGUAGGGACUUGUGAAAAGACACCUUUUUUUUUUUUUCCUGGAAAGUGUACAAACGCCAGAUAUUAAAACUUUAUACCUACAUGACAGGUUGGAAAUGUUAGGGGAACAUACACCGUUAAAAAAUAAAUAUAUUAAAAAACAAAUCAAUAGAAGACAUUAACUUACCUUUUGGUUUUGAUGUUACUUUGAAUCCAGCAUUCACAUGGGUUAUGAUUUUGGUUCUGUGUAAUUUAAAUGUUCCCUUAAUAUUUCUAUUUAAUUUUUUAGAGUAGAGAGUGUGUUGGGUUCAAAAUAUUGGGAAGAAAAUACAGGAGGAAUGCAAGUAACCACACUGGUCCAAAAGAUGAGUUCAAGCGAUGAUUUUAAUGAAAAACACACGCGUGGGAGACACACCCUGCAGAACAUCAAAGGUGGAUCUCUCAGACAAUGAACAAACCAAAGGUUUUUAUAGGGUCGGGUUAAUACAUCACCCCUUCAUGCAUUAAGCAGAUACAAUACUUGCAUACGUCAAAUCAAAACCACAGACCCCCAGUUAACUUUUUGACCCAUUUUAAAAGAACAUUAGCUUCCAUCUUCCUCCAGGUGCAGUCCCCGCAACCACAGCCCUAACAUAGCUGUUAGACAUCCUGUACUUUCAUCAAACCGUCACAUACACCCACAGAAAAACUGCAACCCUAGCAAAACAUGCUUAAACUUUCACCUACAAAAAUGAACUCACUACUAUAUCUGUGUACGUGUAGGUGUGUGUAUGUCUGUGCAUGUGUUACUCUCGCCUUGCACCUUAUUUGACCUCUCUGCUUAUGCAACCAGGCUGAGGCCAUCCUGUGUGUGAUGAUCUUAAUUUGUAUGUAAAAUGUAUAAAAAUUUAUUAAACAAAUGUUUCAACCUAAUACCACUACUUAGAACUUAAUAAAAGGUAUACAUAGAUAAAAAUAAUAAAAAGAAGAGAAUACAAAUGUAUUGUAAGCGUGUGCAAUCCUUCAAUAACUCAGGUCAUCCUCACAGUAGAUUGGCUAACCAAAAGCUUGUAACCCUCAAGAGACGACUUCUUGAGUCACAACUCCUUUAAAGACACAAAAAUGCAAUAUGUGUAAAAUAAUCAUAGGUGCACUUGCAAUGACAAAUCAUCAUAUAAUUAUACUGGCACCUGUAAAUAAAGUAAAUAAAAGUUAACCUGAAAUGAAUGCAAACUUUAAGGUAAUAUCAAUAAAUGCAUCAAUGCAAAUGCUUGUUAUGUGAUUAUGAUGCAAUAGCAAUAACAAAAUAAUGAAACUGGAAAUAGUAAAAUGAACUGAUAAAAAUGGCAGGAAAAGUAACACCUCAUUUCCUCACAAGCGUCAAAGCACUUUGAGACCAUUCUGAAACUGCAUUUUCUUUCCGCUACAGUAACACUAAAGCUAACGCUGUAGAUGACGACCCAGAAUGUGGAAUUAAACUGAAGGCUGAAUUUCUUUCUUGUGCAUACUUUAAGCAGAUGAACAGGACUGUGACAACUGUGCUUAAUACAUUCAGGUUUAUCCACUUGUCCCCCUGUGGUUUUGUUUAUAUUGAAAAUGUGAGUUAUUUCUGCGUGGUAGAUCCCACAGCGUGGGAAAGAGGGAAGGUCCACAUGUCUGAGGCAUAUUGGGGGGGUUUUUCUUCAGCUUGUGACUGGCCUCCCCCACAUGUGAGGUAUUUGUUGGAAUUUUCAGGUCAAACAAGGCCAGACCUUGGAGAACUUCACAGUACCUACUUCCUCAUAAAUCAUGCACAGUUAUAGCAACUUGGAAAAAAAACCUGCUAAAUGAUGACUCAGGAGUGAGAUAGUGGGGUCUUACAGGUCAGAG
rnacentral:lncRNA from 1 species